ACAGGCCGCCACGGCAGCUACCGCCACCGCCGCCGCCAAGCCGGGCUCCAACACUUCCGGCCGCCGCCGCCAGGGAGCUGGCGCCUUAAAGGGGACGCGUCCCUAUUGUCCCCACAGAGGGUGAAAACCUCAGCCGACGGAUUUUGGGCGGUUCGUGCACGGAAUUUUCGGCUUUCUAGAGACAAAGUUGGAAAAGUCUCCCGAGACCCCAGUAAUUCUCCGUCCACUCUGCAGCUAACUCCAGGGGAUCCAACGCCUGCGGGAGUCCACUCUGCAGCAUGACUCAGUCCCGACCCAUGGAAACUGCCACGAAGUACCUGGAUUGGGGAGUGGGGACAUGGAUGAGGCAAGCGGCAAGAGAAAUGGAGACAAGACAGGGCUCUGAUCAAGUCUCGUUUAUUAAAGCACAAGCAUGAGUUUAAAAAGAGAAUGAGAACAAAGAAGUAAAGGAACUUGGUUACCAGAUCUUGUAUGACAAUGGUAAUGAUGAAGAUGGUGAUGGCAAAUGCGGCAAUGAUGAGCACAGCAGCGAAGACUUUCCAACCAGGAUUUUCCAUCAUAGGGGGCUUGGUCUGUUUCAGCUGGAAAAGAACAGAGAAAUUUUUCUCAGGGAAUCUCAUUUUCUCUGGAACCUUGAUUAACAUUUAUUUGCUUUACUAAGUGUUCAGGUAACCAGCGGGCUGUAUCAUGUUGCUGUGAAUAAAUGCAGACAGAUCCUCUGCCCCACGAAUUAUCCAGGGGGGGUCUUUCCAUUUGACCAUGGCAUACUGUCUUUUUGAUUCUGG